rfam:Ipomoea nil DNA, scaffold: scaffold3322, cultivar: Tokyo-kokei standard.
GCCUUCGUAGCUCAGUGGUAGAGCGUGUGGCUUUUAACCACGUGGUUGUGGGUUUGAUCCCCACAAACGGUG